rnacentral:SRP_RNA from 1 species
GCCAUUAGAAUAGCAACCUUGUAACUUGGUCAGGACAGAAAUGAAGCAGCCACAUCGAGAAGUGUUAUGUCUAAUGGUUUUU